rnacentral:tRNA from 8 species
GGGCAAUUGGUCUAGGGGUAUGAUUUUCGCUUCGCAUGUGAAAGGUCACCGGUUCGAAUCCGGUAUUGUCCA